UAGAGUUUGAUCCUGGCUCAGGACGAACGCUGGCGGCGUGCCUAAUACAUGCAAGUCGAGCGAAUCGACGGGAGCUUGCUCCCUGAGAUUAGCGGCGGACGGGUGAGUAACACGUGGGCAACCUGCCUAUAAGACUGGGAUAACUUCGGGAAACCGGAGCUAAUACCGGAUACGUUCUUUUCUCGCAUGAGAGAAGAUGGAAAGACGGUUUACGCUGUCACUUAUAGAUGGGCCCGCGGCGCAUUAGCUAGUUGGUGAGGUAAUGGCUCACCAAGGCGACGAUGCGUAGCCGACCUGAGAGGGUGAUCGGCCACACUGGGACUGAGACACGGCCCAGACUCCUACGGGAGGCAGCAGUAGGGAAUCUUCCGCAAUGGACGAAAGUCUGACGGAGCAACGCCGCGUGAACGAAGAAGGCCUUCGGGUCGUAAAGUUCUGUUGUUAGGGAAGAACAAGUACCAGAGUAACUGCUGGUACCUUGACGGUACCUAACCAGAAAGCCACGGCUAACUACGUGCCAGCAGCCGCGGUAAUACGUAGGUGGCAAGCGUUGUCCGGAAUUAUUGGGCGUAAAGCGCGCGCAGGUGGUUCCUUAAGUCUGAUGUGAAAGCCCACGGCUCAACCGUGGAGGGUCAUUGGAAACUGGGGAACUUGAGUGCAGAAGAGGAAAGUGGAAUUCCAAGUGUAGCGGUGAAAUGCGUAGAGAUUUGGAGGAACACCAGUGGCGAAGGCGA
rnacentral:rRNA from 1 species